GGCCUUGCUCUUAUGUCAUCUGACUAAAGGUUUCAUAGACCAAAGAUAACCAUCCAACCUGUUGGAAUACUGAAACAAUUGCUGCCUGCUUUCCACACACUACAUAAAAUAUGUGGAUAUCCUAAAUUCUACAAAAAAAGAUUUGUAAGCAAAUCAAGCAAUACUGGGACUCCCUCUUCUCCAGAAGAGACAUCCUGGCCUCCAUGCAGAGGAAUGUGUGGAUAGACAUAUAUUUAAGGAAGACACUAAACCAGAAAAUACUACAUUACACCCUCUUAAAAGACUUCUAAGAUUGUUGUCAUGCCUACCACUGACAUUCAGAUGAUGUGUAUUCUUGAUUGUGAUUUCAUGUUUGGAGCUGAUGAAGGAGUUUGAAGUCUCCAGAGCAGCAAGGAGAUUGGGGAGUAGAACUCAUCAUCUUUAGGUCACUCAUCCCCG
rnacentral:lncRNA from 1 species